rnacentral:rRNA from 1 species
AUAAUUUUAGCGAAAUGCGAUACUUGGUGUGAAUUGCAGAAUCCCGUGAACCAUCGAGUCUUUGAACGCAAGUUGCGCCCAAAGCCAUUAGGCUGAGGGCACGCCUGCCUGGGUGCCA